GAUGAAGACGUAGCGAAAUGCGAUAACUAAUGUGAAUUGCAGAAUUCAGUGAAUCAUCGAGUCUUUGAACGCACAUUGCGCCCCCUGGUAUUCCGGGGGGCAUGCCUGUCCGAGCGUCAUUGCUGCCCUCAAGCACGGCUUGUGUGUUGGGCUCCGUCCCCCCGGGGACGGGCCCGAAAGGCAGCGGCGGCACCGAGUCCGGUCCUCGAGCGUAUGGGGCUUUGUCACCCGCUCUGUAGGCCCGGCCGGCGCCAGCCGACAACCCAUCAUCCUUUUCAGGUUGACCUCGGAUCAGGUAGGGAUACCCGCUGAACUUAAGCAUAUCAAUAAGCGGAGGA
rnacentral:misc_RNA from 1 species